rnacentral:rRNA from 1 species
AGGACGAACGCUGGCGGCGUGCUUAACACAUGCAAGUCACGGGGGUCCCGCAAGGGAUAACCGGCGAACGGGUGCGUAACACGUGAGCAACCUGCCUUUGUGUGGGGGAUAGCCGGGCUAACGCCCGGGUAAUACCGCAUACGGUCACCGAGAGGAGUCUCUUGGUGAAGAAACCCUUCGGGGGCACGGAGAGGGGCUCGCGGCCUAUCAGCUAGUUGGGGGGGUAAUGGCCCACCAAGGCGACGACGGGUAGCU